AAGGAAGCGCGUUUCGCAGAGAAAUAUGGCGGUUAUUGGCGAGCUGCCAGCCGAGGAGACGGCGGGCACGGGCAGAGGCAGAGCGACACAGAUAUUUGAUGCAUCACCAUAGAAGUGCGGUUCCGUGAUUCAGUCCGGUUUUCCGGCGUGAGCUGUAUCCACGUCCCUGCACCCAUUGGGAAGCAGAAAGGUCAGGAGGUUAUUCAAGGUCAGCAAGGCGGAAAGCCCAGGGAAUAGGCGAGUGGUCUGAGGAGGAGUCUGGGAAACCGAAUGUUGGAGAGGAAAGCUUCACAGGGACGCCACAUGUAGAUUUUGGAGGAAAUAUGACUUCUCGCCUCUUACUGAGGCUCAUUUCUCUGUGCUGUAAACUGGCACAUGGUUCCUGUUGUUGUGCGUAUAAAUCAAAUCUAAUGUGAACAAGAAGAGCUGCAGUGUAAAGCACAGAGGGCAGAGCUGCAACUGCACUUUGGAUGUUCCCAAUAUCUGACCUUUAAAGUAGCUCAAGUCCUGGAUUUAAUCCGUUGCUGUACAGACUAAUCCGUAAAUUUUACCAUUUGUGAAUUUAAAGAAACAGGCGCACGAUUCAUUAUAAUGAGAACAAUAUUUAUUUAUACAGCUAUUUCUUACAGAUCCUCAGAUUCUGAAUAUGAGGUGAAUCCGGCUUCAUAUGUUACUUUUGAAUCGGACUCAAAGAACCAACAAGUCUUCUUAAGGCUUUCGUAUUGUAAGGUAUAGCAAGUCCUCUGUAAACAAGGGCAGAGCAUAGAUUGCUUUUAUAAUGGAGGGAUACAGGGUGUUUGCAAUGCACUUAUCAUAGGAAAUUCGGAAUACAGCGGAUGUAUUCUGCAUAGAGGGGGGGGGGGGAGACUACUAGACCCAGCAUGGCCUGUGAGCACCCCCAUCCCCUGCAGUAGCAGAUUCAGUAUUGUUGUGUCCUCCUACAUGCACUGCAGCAAUCCCCUCUCUGUGUGAGAUCUGAAACGAGAUUCAUCCUGAGCUUCCUGGUUCAUGAGUUAUAAUGCCAGAACUGCAGAUGGGUGGGGGGGGGGGGGUAAUGUAACUGCAUAGCAAUGCAGAUGUGUAUUGCAUUCAGGGUUUGUGGAAAGCUGGGGGACAACCACCAUGGAUGCCGUUAGUGGUUCACACUAGGGAUGAGCGAAUUUCAUAUCUUGAAGUUUGUGUUGUGGUAUUUACUGAAUUCCGUUACCACGGACCAUGACGGAGGCGUUCCGUUAUUCAUUCAGUCUAUAGCCUGCUUAACGGAUUCGCCUGGUUUCCGUUCUGCAUUCCGUCAUGGUCCGUGGUAACUGAAUCCAUAACUCAAUUCAGUAAAUACCACAACACGAACUUCAAAAUAUGAAAUUUGCUCAUCCCUGGUUCACGCCUUUUGAUAUCCCAGAUCCGAGCGGAAGGCGUUGGGACCUAUACGCCCUGACCUGCUCCUAAUAUUUCCAGCAAUCCCAGUAUGAUGUGGUCCUUUAGAACUGGGCAGAUCCCCUAUCCCUCCAUUACAUAACAUGAGCGAUGAGGUUUGAUAGAUUUCUCAUAGAGGUUUAUCGGGUUGCUUAAAGGGGAACUCCACCCUUUGACAUAAACGUCUUUAGGCGUGUGCCGACGGGUCGUCCUAGUGCAUAGUCUGGUGCUUGCCAAAAUAAAAUAAGCCAGCGUGUCCUGGUCAUGGACUCUGCUGCGGGUGGAGUUCCCCCAUAGACUUUGAUUUCACGGCUGACAAGCACCUUACCUCCACAGAGGCCGAUAAAAACAUUAUAAAAUCACCUGCUAAGUGUAAGUCAUCAGGAAACUGUAAACAGGGCCAUCUGGAGGGGGUUGUCAGUGUCCCAUUAGAUAAAACUAAGACUUUAACCCAAAAAGACCCUAAGUAGCGAGCGCCGCCGACACCCGCAAUACAUUCUACUGGAGACUGUAAGACAUUGGAGUCCCAUAGAGAGCUGAGGAGAAAGAACUUCCGGUCUGAAGCCAGCAGGGGGCGCCAGUCGACCCUCUCCUUGCAAACAUUGUAGAAUUUACAUUCAGAUAAUAAUGUUCAUUGGUUCGGCAGAAGGAGAGCGGAUGCUAUAAUACUGACGCCGCUUUAAUGGCUUCAACCCACCUGCAAGAGACGAGGAGAGAGGGUUUAUUGGGUUAUUGCAGUAAUGAACGGCCUGCAGUAAAGCGUGCCUGCUGCUGCUGCGAAGGGGUUUAUGGGAGCAUAUAUUUCUGUCAUUUAUGCUCUGGUAAUUUUUUUAAUUUAUAUAUUUUUCAUAGAAUAUUGAGUUCAGUAACUCGUAGAAGGAAAGUUAAAUCUGUACAAGAUCAACUUUCCAUCAUGUUUUAUACUCCGUUCACACCCAAAGCUAGAUGCCACUGUCUGAUGGAAGGUGCACUAUUAAAGGGGUUGUCCAGUUGAGAAAAACCAUUAUCGUGCACCCUAUUAGGGAGUUGUGAGUUAUGCGGGAGGAGUUCAGGGUGGACGGGGUUACACAGAACAUGUCUGGCUGUAGAGGAUUGUCCUGUCCUGCAUUACACAGACGAGCCAUUGAUAUGAAUGGGCCUAGUCGGUGUAAUGCUACAUUUCACCUGUGGUGGCGCUGUAGGGAAACUGGGUUAUCCAGGUUAUCCCACGGAUUACAGAUGGGAUCUUUUUGUGAUGUGUGUUGGCGAGGGGCCCUUCUAACAAGUCGGCAUUGUCGAAAGUGGAGAGCCCCUUUAAUGUCUUGGCUGUGAUGAUAUAAUGGGCUUCAUUGUAUAGUGAGAGACAGAUUCUACAGACCAGUGCACUACUUCUUUCUAGUUGUAGGAGCAAAAAAAAAAGUAAAAAUGCAGCUUUGGAGGUGACUGGAGUAUAAAGUCUACCUGGAAUCGAGAUUGGCGCUAGGUUAGUAUUCAUUCAAGAGGCAGCAUGAUCGGUGUGGUCUGCACAUCUUUUAUAACCACAAAGAAGUAGUGCUCCAGCUGUUGCAAAAUUAGGACUCCAAACAUGGCAGCACAUAUUGGGAGUUGUAGUUCUGCAGCAGAUAAAACCCUGUGGGACUGGACAUGCUGCAAUUACACUUUGCAAAAGUGAGCGGCAGAUAUGACAGAUCAGCAAGA